rnacentral:ncRNA from 2 species
CGAACCACGACGGGAGAGCUCGCCCCGGUCCUCGACCGGGGCGGCGCCGAAGGAGCAAGUCCUCCCCGGGAAUCUCUCAGGCCCACGUACCGUCGCGGCGAG